UGAGAUUCUUCAAAGUAUACUAUUCUCUGUGAUACAGGCGAUUGAGCAGCCAUUGCGAACCAACAAGAUCACUCGGCAGAUCUAUAAACAUUCCGUCUUCAUCAAGGCCAUGCCCGGAAUCGUCAUUGGCGGAAUCCAGCCCUUCGGCUGCAUCUUUAUCCAGCUCUUCUUCAUCAACAGCAUCUGAUGUACUACAUGUUUGGGUUCCUGUUCCUGGUGUUCAUCAUUUUUCUCAUCACCUGCUCCAAGGCCGUCAUCCUGUUGUGCUACUUCCUCUCAUGUGCAGAGGUGGGUGGAGCCAUGCAUACAUGGAUCUGGCAUCACAAUAAUGGACUCACUGGUGGUGGCAUUCCUUCCUGAUCAGGCUAUUCAUGGCAGUCAACCUGUUUGUUUACGACUUGCACUACUUCUCCAAGCUGCAGAUCAUCACCACUACCAUCCUCUACUUUACCAUGAUCAUGGUGCUAAUUUUCUUCCUCUUCACAAGGGAGUCAACAACAGUGCCACACUACGCAAGUCUAGACUCUCUAACAGGUUUAAGUAGAGGCGCUCAGACACAUUUCAUCUUAACGAACAGUGCUGGAGCUUUUGGCAGACUUUGGCAGAUUCAUCGGCUGUUUCCAGCCACUCAUCUCAAUAGGAAUUUUAUCCGCCUUUAAGAAAUGGAAAUGUGUGGUGCUGUAAUAGCGAGCUGAGACAGUUGAAAAUAUCGAUGGGAUAUUUUGGUUGUCUGUGUGCUCCUGAAGUGCUGUGGUAUCUCACUGUUAAAAUCAUCCUAGAGUGGAGAUGAAACAAUAAAAAAAAUUAUCUGACACGGCGGUUGCAUUAAGGAGAAGUCUAUCUUUAAUUAUUAUGAG